rnacentral:rRNA from 1 species
GACGAACGCUGGCGGCGUGCCUAACACAUGCAAGUCGAGCGAUGAAACCCUUCGGGGUGGAUUAGCGGCGGACGGGUGAGUAACACGUGGGUAACCUACCUCAAAGAGGGGGAUAGCCUCCCGAAAGGGAGAUUAAUACCGCAUAACAUUAGUUUUUCGCAUGAAGAAUUAAUUAAAGGAGUAAUCCGCUUUGAGAUGGACCCGCGGCGCAUUAGCUAGUUGGUGAGGUAAAGGCUCACCAAGGCGACGAUACGUAGCCGACCUGAGAGGGUGAUCGGCCACAUUGGAACUGAGACACGGUCCAGACUCCUACGGGAGGCAGCAGUGGGGAAUAUUGCACAAUGGGCGAAAGCCUGAUGCAGCAACGCCGCGUGAGUGAUGAAGGCCUUCGGGUUGUAAAGCUCUGUCUUUUGGGACGAUAAUGACGGUACCAAAGGAGGAAGCCACGGCUAACUACGUGCCAGCCGCCGCGGUAAAAC